AUCUAGAGGUUUUUGGAUGGUGACUCAGUGGAUUCAUUCCUGCAUUUUUGGAGGAGCAUCAAACCAACAGUGAUGGAACUAAAUGAAGAAUGUGACUAAAAUUUCAAGUUACUAAGGAAAUAAUAUUUAAAAUUACAUUGGCAAAUUUACAGUAGGAAAAGUCAGAGUGGUAGGUUGAAAUAUAGGACUGGUAAUUUCAGCUGAUAAACAGUCUAGUCUUUGUUUGUCGUCUUCUUCUUCUGAAAGUACAGAAUUAAAACACACUGUCAUUUAUUGUUAUAACCAAUGUGAGAAUUAGCAAGAAGGAAGUUUUGGGUAAAUGGAAGAAGAAGCAUUUCUUUUUCCUCAAGAAGACACUUAAUAUCAUAUAAACAGCUAUAAAUAUAUAAUGGAAACAUCAUCUGUGAUGUGUUUGGGUUUUCUGGUUAAUGAAGCUGCUAUAAAUCAUAAAGUAGAUCAUGUGUGUAGCAGGUUUGAGUUGUUCUAGUUAAACAGUGCAGCUUUAGUGCAGGAGGUUUUUGUACAGAUGCUGAAUGAGGUUGUAUCACUGUGGUACACGUUUGGUGGAGGAACUCGACUCUCUGUUGGAAGUGAUGCUCGGCCCACCCUCACAGUGUUGCCCCCCUCCACUGUGGAGCUGCAGCAGGGGAAGGCUACACUAGUGUGUUUGGCCAACAAGGGCUUCCCCUCAGACUGGACGCUGAGCUGGAAGGUGGACGGUAUCAGCCAGACGUCAGGUGUGAGUGUGAGUGGGGGCGUGCUGGAGAAGGGAAACGGCCUCUACAGCUGGAGCAGCACCCUGAGCCUCACUGAGCAGCAGUGGAAGAACAUACAGGCAGUGAGCUGUGAGGCCAGACAGGGCAGUCAAAGCCCAGUCACCCAGAGCCUGACCACACAGCAGUGCUAGUGUUUCUGCUGAUGAGCUGCUCAACAGUUUUUCAGCUCCAUUUCAAAUUUUGUUGUUAUCAGUUCAAAAUCUUAUUCAGUGCCUGAAUGAUGUGCUUUACUAUAUGAUUUCAAAAUAAAGCUUUUUGAAUCAAAA